GCCUGGCUAGAUCAGUUGGUUAGAGCGUGGUGUUGAUAACGCCAAGGUUGCAGGUUUGAUCCCUGCAUGGGACA